rnacentral:rRNA from 1 species
AGAGUUUGAUCCUGGCUCAGGACGAACGCUGGCGGCGUGCCUAAUACAUGCAAGUAGAACGCUGAAGAGAGGAGCUUGCUCUUCUUGGAUGAGUUGCGAACGGGUGAGUAACGCGUAGGUAACCUGCCUUGUAGCGGGGGAUAACUAUUGGAAACGAUAGCUAAUACCGCAUAACAAUGGAUGACCCAUGUCAUUUAUUUGAAAGGGGCAAAUGCUCCACUACAAGAUGGACCUGCGUUGUAUUAGCUAGUAGGUGAGGUAACGGCUCACCUAGGCGACGAUACAUAGCCGACCUGAGAGGGUGAUCGGCCACACUGGGACUGAGACACGGCCCAGACUCCUACGGGAGGCAGCAGUAGGGAAUCUUCGGCAAUGGGGGCAACCCUGACCGAGCAACGCCGCGUGAGUGAAGAGGGUUUUCGGAUCGUAAAGCUCUGUUGUAAGUCAAGAACGAGUGUGAGAGUGGAAAGUUCACACUGUGACGGUAGCUUACCAGAAAGGGACGGCUAACUACGUGCCAGCAGCCGCGGUAAUACGUAGGUCCCGAGCGUUGUCCGGAUUUAUUGGGCGUAAAGCGAGCGCAGGCGGUUUGAUAAGUCUGAAGUUAAAGGCUGUGGCUCAACCAUAGUUCGCUUUGGAAACUGUCAAACUUGAGUGCAGAAGGGGAGAGUGGAAUUCCAUGUGUAGCGGUGAAAUGCGUAGAUAUAUGGAGGAACACCGGUGGCGAAAGCGGCUCUCUGGUCUGUAACUGACGCUGAGGCUCGAAAGCGUGGGGAGCGAACAGGAUUAGAUACCCUGGUAGUCCACGCCGUAAACGAUGAGUGCUAGGUGUUGGAUCCUUUCCGGGAUUCAGUGCCGCAGCUAACGCAUUAAGCACUCCGCCUGGGGAGUACGACCGCAAGGUUGAAACUCAAAGGAAUUGACGGGGGCCCGCACAAGCGGUGGAGCAUGUGGUUUAAUUCGAAGCAACGCGAAGAACCUUACCAGGUCUUGACAUCCCGAUGCUAUUUCUAGAGAUAGAAAGUUACUUCGGUACAUCGGUGACAGGUGGUGCAUGGUUGUCGUCAGCUCGUGUCGUGAGAUGUUGGGUUAAGUCCCGCAACGAGCGCAACCCCUAUUGUUAGUUGCCAUCAUUCAGUUGGGCACUCUAGCGAGACUGCCGGUAAUAAACCGGAGGAAGGUGGGGAUGGCGUCAAAUCAUCAUGCCCCUUAUGACCUGGGCUACACACGUGCUACAAUGGUUGGUACAACGAGUUGCGAGUCGGUGACGGCAAGCUAAUCUCUUAAAGCCAAUCUCAGUUCGGAUUGUAGGCUGCAACUCGCCUACAUGAAGUCGGAAUCGCUAGUAAUCGCGGAUCAGCACGCCGCGGUGAAUACGUUCCCGGGCCUUGUACACACCGCCCGUCACACCACGAGAGUUUGUAACACCCGAAGUCGGUGAGGUAACCUUUUGGAGCCAGCCGCCUAAGGUGGGAUAGAUGAUUGGGGUGAAGUCGUAACAAGGUA